AUAAUAAGGAAGCGUGGUUCAAUUGGCGCCAGUCUGCCAUACACUCUCAUGGAGUUAAUUUGAGUGCAACGGAGCUAAAGCUGUUCUUGUUAUGUUGUCUUCUGUACCAG